rnacentral:rRNA from 1 species
UACGUAGGGUGCAAGCGUUGUCCGGAAUUAUUGGGCGUAAAGAGCUCGUAGGCGGUUUGUUGCGUCGGCUGUGAAAUCCCGAGGCUCAACCUCGGGUCUGCAGUCGAUACGAGCAAACUAGAGUGUUGCAGGGGAGACUGGAAUUCCUGGUGUAGCGGUGAAAUGCGUAGAUAUCUGGAGGAACACCGGUGGCGAAGGCGGCAUCCUGGACCGACAUUGACGCUGAGGCGCGAAAGCUAGGGGAGCAAACGGG